rnacentral:rRNA from 1 species
UACGUAGGUGGCAAGCGUUGUCCGGAUUUAUUGGGCUUAAAGGGUGCGUAGGCGGUCUUAUAAGUCAGUGGUGAAAUACGGCAGCUCAACUGUCGAGGUGCCAUUGAUACUGUAGGACUUGAGUACAGACGAGGUAGGCGGAAUUGACGGUGUAGCGGUGAAAUGCAUAGAUAUGUCACAGAACACCAAUUGCGAAGGCAGCUUACUAAAGUAUGAUUGACGCUGAGGCACGAAAGCGUGGGGAUCAAACAGG